GACGAACGCUGGCGGCGUGCUUAACACAUGCAAGUCGAACGGUGAAGCGAGUGCUUGCACUCGUGGAUCAGUGGCGAACGGGUGAGUAACACGUGAGUAACCUGCCCAUCACUCUGGGAUAAGCACUGGAAACGGUGUCUAAUACUGGAUACGACCAACCCUUGCAUGGGGUGUUGGUGGAAAGAUUUAUCGGUGAUGGAUGGACUCGCGGCCUAUCAGCUUGUUGGCGGGGUAAUGGCCCACCAAGGCGACGACGGGUAGCCGGCCUGAGAGGGUGACCGGCCACACUGGGACUGAGACACGGCCCAGACUCCUACGGGAGGCAGCAGUGGGGAAUAUUGCACAAUGGGCGAAAGCCUGAUGCAGCGACGCCGCGUGAGGGAUGACGGCCUUCGGGUUGUAAACCUCUUUCAGCAGGGAAGAAGCGGAAGUGACGGUACCUGCAGAAGAAGCACCGGCUAACUACGUG
rnacentral:rRNA from 1 species